UGGGGAAUAUUGCACAAUGGGCGCAGGCCUGAUGCAGCCAUGCCGCGUGUAUGAAGAAGGCCUUCGGGUUGUAAAGUACUUUCAGCGGGGAGGAAGGUGUUGAGGUUAAUAACCUCAGCAAUUGACGUUACCCGCAGAAGAAGCACCGGCUAACUCCGUGCCAGCAGCCGCGGUAAUACGGAGGGUGCAAGCGUUAAUCGGAAUUACUGGGCGUAAAGCGCACGCAGGCGGUCUGUCAAGUCGGAUGUGAAAUCCCCGGGCUCAACCUGGGAACUGCAUUCGAAACUGGCAGGCUAGAGUCUUGUAGAGGGGGGUAGAAUUCCAGGUGUAGCGGUGAAAUGCGUAGAGAUCUGGAGGAAUACCGGUGGCGAAGGCGGCCCCCUGGACAAAGACUGACGCUCAGGUGCGAAAGCGUGGGGAGCAAACA
rnacentral:rRNA from 1 species